AAAAGAGUACACACAUGUAGUGUCUAAAGACUGAGAAAAAGAAAAGGAUUUUGAUUUGAAAGUAGAAACAUUGAACAGCUUAAAGACUGUUGAUGGGAGGAACUCAGUGUCGACGAGACGCUGAGCUCAAAAAUUAUAGUUUAUAUUCAACAGUUGCGUGAACCUAAUGUGUGUGCGCGCGUGUGCAACGCUCCGAGAGUGUGUCGCAGUUUAUCUUGGUUUUUUUGGUUUUGUUUCAUCUUUGGAAAGUAUUCGGAAGAGAGACAAUACCCGUGUUUUAUUUUACAUUAAAGUGUUAAGAAAUGGUUGAAGUGUUCGGAGCUCAAGGGAUGACUGAGUGAAUGCGGAGCGAUUUAUUAGGAGAGACCGACGUGCUUUCGUGGCCUGUGCUGAUCUGGCCUAUCUACAAGAUGGAGGAUUUGCCUGGACAUGUCAUCCGAUUCAUCUUUGGAAGAGAUGGUUUGUGAUGGAUGCAUGGACGACUGGAUCUGCUGAUCAUUUCAUUGGUGCAUCUUCAAAUCUGGUACUGUGUUGUUUUUGGAAUCGCUAUCUUGUGGGAUCUUGUGAGUACUCCUAACUGUUCGCUAACACAUUAAUUUGAGCUCUUACCUUGCACGCCUACAAGGGACGUAAAUCCCAGCUGGGUAAUUUUCUUUUUUUUUUUUUUUUUUUUAUUUGUUUGGGAAUGUAUUUUUUUUUUUUUUAGUAUAAUGUGAAUCUGAAUGUUUCAUAUUUAGUGUGAAAUUUGUAUUCCAUGUGAUCACUCAUUUGAAUUUAUUUAUUUUUAAAGUUCUUUUGUUUCAUAUGUGUUGAUUUCAAUUGACAGUGUUAUUAGUUGCUUCAGUUUCAAAGGGGAAAUAAGAAAAAAGUCAAAAGAAUAAAUACAGUGUUUUAGUAUUUUAAUCUCCUGUGAUCUUUCUGCAGAGAAAGGGGGAGGUUAAAGGGGACAUCUGAGUAAUUUCGUUGAGAUUGGGGUUUACACGAUGUAAUGUGGGCACAGUGGUAAAUUUAGAUGUGCCUCUCACCCGUAGUUUUUUUUUAGUUUGAAUUUCCCCUAGACAUACUUGUAUUUUGAGCCAGUGCACUGGUGAGAGGGCUACACAUAAAUGCAAUUAUGUUUUGGCAAAUAUUUCCAAACAAAUUAAUAAGUACAAUAAUAUAAUAGAUGCCACUAUCUAUAAAAAUUCCCAAUAAGAAAAUGCAUUAGAGCAAUUCUCUUGUGGUACUGCAUUGCCAUAUGAAAAUUUUCAUAUUUUCCUCAAUUUUCUGUAAAACUAUGUUAGAAAAAAUUGAUCAGUAAACAACAUCUAAAUAACUUAUCAAAAGUGCCAUAAAAAAUUGUGAUGUAGAAGGAACAUACCAAAAACAUUUUAAUAGCGCAAUUUGUGAAGAAGAAAAAAAAAAGCAUAUAUAUAUUUUUCUCCCCUUUUCUACCCAAUUUGGAAUGCAUAAUUCCCAAUGCGAUCUAAGUUCUUGUGACUUGCCUCAAUCCAGGUGGCGGAGGACGAAUCUCAGUUGCCUGCGCAUCUGAGACCAUCAAUCCACGCAUCUUAUCACGUGGCUUGUUAAACGCAUGUGUAGAGGCUUCACGCUAUUCUCUGUGGCAUCCAUGCACAACUCACCACGCGCCCCACUGCGAGCGAGACCACAUUAUAGCGACCACAAGGAGGUUUACCCCAUGUGACUCUACCCUCCCUAGCAACUGGGACAAUUUGGUUGCUUGGGACACCUGGCUGGAGUCAUUCAGCACGUCCUGGAUUCGGACUCAUGACUCCAAGGGUUUUAGUCAGCAUCUUUACUCGCUGAGCUACCCAGGCCCCUAUUAUUGGUUACUUAAAUUAUCUUUUAUUUCCGACAAUGCAUUAUGUUUUAAAAUUUUCUGAAAGAAAAUAACUAAUUCAUGCCAUAUGGCUACACCGUACCAUACAGCGUUAAUGUGGCAAGACAAUCAGUAAUCAUAGGCUAAAUUCAGAAUCACAUACCAUUCUACUCUUACCAUUUCUAUCAUAUCUAUAUAUGGUACACUGUAAAAUUUAAUAGUAUUCCUUACUUAAAAAAUAUUAGUAUGUUUACUUGAAUUUAACCAAAACGUUGAGUUUACUAGAAAUGUUUAAUUGUUGCUGACAUUUUCGAACACAUAGUUCCCAUAACUAACGUAAUUUAAGUAAAAUUACUCAAAAUGUUCAAGAUGUGCUGUUAGGCAUGCGCACUGGAUGGCAAUUUCCCCUCCCCCACACAGCGCAGAAGCAUAUAGAUUGAGGAUUUGACAUUCUUCUUCGGUAAAUGCAAGGUAAUAUUUUUUAAUUUAAACCUCAUUUUCAGCUUUAUUUUGUUUGAUACACUUAAUAAUUGUUAGAUUUUUUGCACUGUUGUUUUCAUGCUGUUUUGUGUAACGUAUUAGCUCAUGUUAAGAACUUACACAAACACGUUAUUCACUGCACAUAAUUUGAAGGCAUUUCUGUUAAAACUAGUCUUUGCCCGCAUCAUAUUUGUAAAAUUAGCUGACUGGUUGGAUAUUAAAUCAUUUAGAUAUGUAUAUUUUGUGAUGGCCACGAGUAUGGGAAUACUGGAGUAGUUUGAACUGAUGACUGGUCAUGAUUAUGCAAUACGUGACUUCUUACAGAAUUUGAAAUUCCUUGACAACUCUAAAAUUAGGAACUUUUUUAUACUUGUGAUUGUUACGGAAUAGUUUUCGGCAUCACUCAGCAUAUAUUCACGAGUGCUGGGCACGCCACUUUUUAGAACAAGGCAGCGCAGAUAGACAUGGAUGCAUUCACUCUAGAGAAAGCGCAAUCCAGAUAAAGUACAAAUGGAUGUAACAGACCGCGACAUCUUGAGCCUGGUUCUUUUAAAGUAACUCUUAAUUUGAUACGCCACAUUAAAAACGCAACGAUGUGUGGUGAACUCCAGUCAAGCUGGUUGUGGCGAAAAUAGUAUGCGUGCUUAUUAUGAUUAUUACGGUAGCUUGCAAACCACAGACUGCAUGGUACGUUGAGCAUUUGCGCUUUUAUGAGUUGUGCAGUUUGCAUUCACUGCAAGUUGUUCAGCCUUCUGAACUAAAUUACCCCUUCCCUUUGGCAGCUUAUAAUAUCCGAGGACAGUUUUUUGUCACAUUGAAGUAUUAUAUCUGCUGCUAAAUGACAUUGCAUUGUAUUAUUGCUGUUAUGCUUGACUUCUGCUUUUUUCUUUUUGUAAUUUCAGUUCACCAUGUCGAUGACACUUCGCAUUAUUGUGCAUGACAGUGACAUUAAAAGUAAUCAUUCCUGAAAAAGCAGCUGAUGUUGAUGCCUUGAAACAUGUGCUGCAAGAAAAGCUCCAACUCACAUACUCAUUCAGUGUCCAAUAUGAAGAUCCUGACUUUAAUCAUGCAUUAUGUAAUGUCAAUGACAUUAAUGAUUUGCCAGAGAGGGCAACCCUGAAAAUAAUUCCUCUACACACAUCUCCCUCCUCCAGUCAAGCUGACACUUCUCUCAGGUUCUGAUACAUCAGAUCAGUUGUCUGCUGAACGACAGUGUGAAUGGUCAGAGGAUUUUGAAAUAUGCAAAUUCUCUGUUAAUGUUGAGUACAGUCUCCGUCAGGGAAACCUUGCUUUUAUGAAAGAUGGUACAAGUCUUAAUGUUGGAAGAGACAUAAAACAUGACAUACUGGAAGCACUUGCCGGGGCCAUGUACACUUUUAAGGCAUAUCCAAGAAAUGAAGACUUUGCCCAAGUUGCAGCAGCUUUCAUCAAAGCACAUCCCUGUUUGACUGAACAGGGCUCCCCAACAGGCUCAGCUGGCUGGAAAAACAGCCUGAAAUUUAAAAUGGCCAACUAUAGAACAAAACUGCGUAAAUGUGGCUGUAGUGAUGUUGCUGUUGAGGGAAAGAGAGGUGCAACGAUGGCAAUGAAGUCCAGCAUUAAAAAACCCAGUUGAUUUGAAUUAAAUUUGUUGCCAAAGUUUCCUAAUGGGGAAGAUGAAGAAAGUCAAGAAUGCACAAGAAUACAACUUGUCGAAGAAAUGAAAAUGAGGCCCCCAAACAUGAGCCUGAUUGGACAGAAGAUGGACAGAACUUUUGCCUUGAUAAGGAAGGAAAUCGUCCACUCUGAACCUCAUGUCUGUGAGAUCUUGGAGAAGUGGCCAGCACUUUUCACAGAAAGCCAGGUCUUUGCAGAAUUCAAUCGUAUAUCUGGGAAAAAUCUGAGAUCUGAAUUCUACACAGCGUUGGACACGCACUCUGCACGUUUGAGGAAAUCAGGGAAGAACACUUGAUGAAAUUUUGCAUCAUGUUGACUCAAAGUCAUCUGAUGUAACUUGUGUUCGCACCGCAGUACUUCAGGGUCUUCCAGUCCUCCUGGGGGAUGACCCAGAGGACUUUUUCAAGAUGAGCUUCGAUUCAGAUGUAGAUGCAGACUUCAGUGAAGUAGAUGUUGGACUGCUCACAGUUUUACCUGAAGGCAUGCCUGCCAAACGUCCACAUGCCCUCAACAUGGACGCAAUGAGGGCAAUCAUUCUGGAGAGAAGAAUUGUCAUGGGUGAUGUCCCAAAUUUGCUACAUGCUGUAUGUCUCCUCUUUGCUUUGAUCUAUGCUCUAAAUUUAGACUACCCAAAGACAAUGAGGAACACAUUUGAUUGUAUUCAGUGGGUAUUUCUGUCUUUGGGAGGAUAGAAUCUCAAACCCAAACUCCAAACCCUUAAAAAUCAGCUUUUAAGCUGAACUUGUUUCUGGAAUUUUUUGCUGUAAUUGCAGUUCAGUUUUAGAAUCUUUCCAAAGCCACAUGCAGGUUUUUCAAAAUUGUAAAGGGAUUUUUUUUUAUUUAUUUUUUUUACUUUUUUGGAAUUUGCACAGUGCCUGUUCUGCAAAUGCUCUGUACCUUGUUUUAGGUCCAGAUAUAAUGUUGUCAUGCAGCAGAGUGCUGCAAGGGGUCUAAGUCUUAAGAACAGAUGAUGUUUUAAAGGCAUAGUUUUAUUAUUGUAUUGUUCUUAAAAGAGUUUUAGCUGUUUAUUACACAAAUAAACAGUUGAGAAUUUCA